ACACACAGGUAGAGGGACACACACACACACACACACACACACACACACACAGGUAGAGGGACACACACACACACACACAGCAACUACAGCACACAGGUAGAGGAACACACACACACACAGCAACUACAGCACACAGGUAGAGGGACACACACACACAGCAACUACAGCACACAGGUAGAGGGACACACACACACAGCAACUACAGCACACAGGUAGAGGGACACACACACACACACACACACACACACACACAGGUAGAGGGACACACACACACACACACACACACACACACACAGGUAGAGGGACACACACACACACACACAGCAACUACAGCACACAGGUAGAGGAACACACACACACACAGCAACUACAGCACACAGGUAGAGGGACACACACACACAGCAACUACAGCACACAGGUAGAGGGACACACACACACAGCAACUACAGCACACAGGUAGAGGGACACACACACACACACACACAGCAACUACAGCACACAGGUAGAGGGACACACACACACACACAGCAACUACAGCACACAGGUAGAGGAACACACACACACACACAGCAACUACAGCACACAGGUAGAGUGCCCACACACACACACACAAAGCAACUACAGCACACAGGUAGAGGGAAACACACACACACACACACACACACACAGCAACUACAGCACACAGGUAGAGGGACACACACACACACACACACACACACAGCAACUACAGCACACAGGUAGAGGGACACACACACACACACACACACACAGCAACUACAGCACACAGGUAGAGGGACACACACACACACACACACACACACACACAGCAACUACAGCACACAGGUAGAGGGACACACACACACACACACACACACAGCAACUACAGCACACAGGUAGAGGGACACACACACACACACACACACACACAGCAACUACAGCACACAGGUAGAGGGACACACACACACACACACAGCAACUACAGCACACAGGUAGAGGGACACACACACACAGCAACUACAGCACACAGGUAGAGGGACACACACACACAGCAACUACAGCACACAGGUAGAGGGACACACACACAGCACACAGGUAGAGGGACACACACACAGCAACUACAGCACACAGGUAGAGGGACACACACACACACACACACACACACAGCAACUACAGCACACAGGUAGAGGGACACACACACACACACACACACACACACACACACACACACACACACACACACACACACACACACACACACAGCAACUACAGCACACAGGUAGAGGGACGGACACACACACACAGCAACUACAGCACACAGGUAGAGGGACGGACACACACACACACACAGCAACUACAGCACACAGGUAGAGGGACGGACACACACACACACACAGCAACUACAGCACACAGGUAGAGGGACACACACACACACACACACACACACAGCAACUACAGCACACAGGUAGAGGGACACACACACACACACACAGCAACUACAGCACACAGGUAGAGGGACGCACACACACUCUGUUUUGGCAGUACAUUUGUGGGGCGGCAGAUAGCCUAGUGGUUAGAGCGUUGGACCAGUAUCCCAAAGGUUGCUGGAUUGAAUCACCGAGCUGACAAGGUACAAAUCUGUCGUUCUGCCCCUGAACAAGGCAGUUAACCCACUGUUCCUAGGCCAUCAUUGAAAAUAAGAAUUUGUUCUUAACUGACUUGCCUAGUUAAAUAAAGGUAAAAUAAAUAAAUACAUUUUAAAAAGAUGGUGGCCGACAGACACGGUCGCCUUGCUCCUAGCCAACUUUGCAGUAUUUCGUUUUUUUUGUUCAGUGUUAUUUCUUACAUUAUUUACUCAGAAUGUUUCUUGUAUUAUUAUGUACAGCCGGAAAUAACUUUUGGAUAUUAGAUCGGCGGUCACUUACCAGAAAUUGGACUUCCCUGACCUGGAUCCUUUGUUUUGACCUUCCCGAGGGAGUUCUGAUCAUCCCAGGAGCUGCACCGAACCGCCCACGUUGGAGAAGAGAUAGGAGUUGUGCCCUAGUCAGUUCUGAUCAUCCCAGGAGCUGCACCGAACCGCCCACGUUGAAGAGAUAGGAGUUGUGCCCUAGUCAGACUCAGGUGGCGUGCAUACCAUCCACUGCUUCCCAGUAUAUUACUUGCCAACGUUCAGUCCCUGGACUAAGCAUGUUAACCCACACGAGGCUGCAGGCCCAGACGGCAUCCCAAGUCGUGUCCUCUUGAGUGUUUACGGACAUAUUCAAUCUCUCCCUUUCCCGGUCUGUUGUCCCCACUUGCUUCAAGAUGUCCACCAUUGUUCCUGUACCCAAGAAAGCGAAUGUAACUGAACUAAAUGACUAUCGCCCUGUAGCACUCACUUCUGUCAUCAUGAAGUGCUUUGAGAGGCUAGUUAAUGACCAUAUCGCCUCCACCUUACCAGACACCCUAGUCCCACAACAAUUUUCAGAUCCACAGACGCAAUCGCCAUUGCACUGCACACUGCCCUAUCCCACCUCAAGAUAAAUACCUAUGUAAUAAUGCUGUUCAUUGACCACAGCCAAGCUUCUACAGAGGCACCGUUGAGAGAAUCCUGUCGGGCUGUAUCACCGCCUGGUACGGCACUGCACACAACCGCAGUGUUCUCCAGAGGGUGGUGAGGUCUGCCCAACGCAUCACCGGGAGCACACUGCCUGCCCUCCAGGACACCUACAGCACCCGAUGUCACAGGAAGGCCAAGAACAUCAUCAAGGACCUCAGCCACCCGAGCCACGGCCUGUUCACCCCGCUAUCAUCUAGAAGGCGGAGACAGUACAGGUGCAUCAAAGCUGGUAUAUAGAAGCUGAAAAACAGGCCUACAAGCCAUCAGUCCAGCCUCUCUGUUAAGAGAAGUAUGUUCUCAAUGUUCAUAAACUGAACUUUAACUACUCAGUCUGCAACCCAGAAUUUGUAAGAUACUGGUUGAAAUGAAAACAGAGGCCUAGCCUAUAAUAGUCAAAUGUUUAUUCACGAGAGCGCUCUGAAGUGAAGAAUACAAAAACAUCCAUUUUAUAGCUGCGCACAUACUUCCACACGAACAGUAGAUAUCAUACGCACAUACAUACGAACAGUAGGUGAGUUGUAUCACUGUUUAUCACUACCAAGCCGCGUGGGCUACCGGCAGUUCCACUCCCCCGAGAUUAGGGAAACCUUGAGAAGUCCUCCCUGUCCUCAUAAGUUCUCAGUUCCUGCCAGGUGGGUUCAAACACAGUCUAACUGUUCUCGGUAUCUUUCU